rnacentral:rRNA from 1 species
GGGUAAGGCGUGCAGGGUGACGCGUGAAUACGUAGGUGGCAGUGGUUGUUGGGAAGUAUGGGGCUGAAAGGGCGGGUAGGCGGGUUGGUAAUGCGGUGGGGAAAGCCCGGGGCUCAACCCCGGAGAGUCGACCGAUACUGGCAGAAUAGAGUACAGAAGAGGUAGCUGGAAUUCCUGGUGUAGCGGUGAAAUGCGUAGAUAUCAGGAGGAACACCUGAGGCGAAGGCGGGCUACUGGGCUGAUACUGACGCUGAUGCGCGAAAGCCAGGGGAGCAAACGGGAUUAGAUACCCCGGUAGUC